GUAAAGAAGAGAGAGAAAGAAGAAGAAGAAAGGAAAAGAGGAAGAAGAAGAAGAAAAAAAAAGAAGGGGAAGUUGAUCGUAGAGCUUCACCAGAAUUGGGUCUUGGUAUUUUGAGCCCGGAUUUAUGAUUAGCUCACCGAGGACUUUGAUUUGAGGUUACCUGCCUCGUGAUCAGGAGCCAAGCCCCACCAUGGAGUUUCCAUCUAAGGACUGGUGGGUCCCUGACGAGUUUGAGCACGGUGCCGAUUGAACGUGCGAGGAUUGUGCUUCAUGGUGAUUUUGCAAGUUACCAACCUAGUGAUCAUGAGCCGGGCCUCACUGUGGAGUUUCCAUUUGAGGACUGGUGGGUCCCUGACGAGUUCGAGCACGGUGUUGAUUGCACGUGUGAGGAUUAUGUUGCAUGGCAGAUGUGACUCCUGAGUGAUUCUUUUUUUUUCUUUUUGAUGUACUCCUUUUUGUUACUUGAUGCUUAAAUUGUUAUAUCUUUGUAUAUAUAUCAUGCCUUCGGGCCCAAAUGUAU